rnacentral:rRNA from 1 species
AGGACGAACGCUGGCGGCGUGCCUAAUGCAUGCAAGUCGAGCGACGAAUAGGUGCGGGUAACCAAGCCUAUUACGGAGCGGCGAACGGGUGAGUAACACGUGAGCAACCUGCCCCGAAGACCGGGAUAGCCCAGGGAAACUUGGAUUAAUACCGGAUAUCCUCUUUUGAUCGCAGUGUUCGUUAGAAGAAU